ACUGCCGGUGAUAAAUCGGAGGAAGGUGGGGACGACGUCAAAUCAUCAUGCCCUUUAUGUCCUGGGCUACACACGUACUACAAUGGCCGUUACAACGGGAAGCGAAGGAGCAAUCCGGAGCAAAUCCCUUAAAGGCGGUCCCAGUUCAGAUUGUGGGCUGAAACUCGCCCACAUGAAGGCGGAAUUGCUGUAAUUGCAGAUCAGCAUGCUGCAGUGAAUACGUUCCCGGGCCUU
rnacentral:rRNA from 1 species